UACGUAGGGGGCGAGCGUUGUUCGGAAUUACUGGGCGUAAAGGGCGUGUAGGCGGUGCGGUAAGUCGGGCGUGAAAUCCCCGGGCUUAACCCGGGGCGGUCGUUCGAAACUGCCGUGCUAGAGUGCAGGAGAGGGAAGUGGAAUUCCCGGUGUAGCGGUGAAAUGCGUAGAUAUCUGGAGGAACACCAAAGGCGAAGGCAAUGUUCUGGCUCGUUUCUGACGCUCAGGUGCGAAGGCAUAGGUAACAAAAAGG
rnacentral:rRNA from 1 species